AGGACGAACGCUGGCGGCGUGCUUAACACAUGCAAGUCGAGCGGUAAGGCCCUUUCGGGGGUACACGAGCGGCGAACGGGUGAGUAACACGUGAGCAAUCUGCCCUUCACUUCGGGAUAAGCCUCGGAAACGGGGUCUAAUACCGGAUAUGACCGCGCUACGCAUGUGGUGUGGUGGAAAGUUCUGGCGGUGGAGGAUGAGCUCGCGGCCUAUCAGCUUGUUGGUGGGGUAAUGGCCUACCAAGGCUUCGACGGGUAGCCGGCCUGAGAGGGUGACCGGCCACACUGGGACUGAGACACGGCCCAGACUCCUACGGGAGGCAGCAGUGGGGAAUAUUGGACAAUGGGCGAAAGCCUGAUCCAGCAACGCCGCGUGAGGGAUGACGGCCUUCGGGUGUAAACCUCUUUCAGCGCCGACGAAGCGAGAGUGACGGUAGCGCAGAAGAAGCACGGCCAACUACGUGCCAGCAGCCGC
rnacentral:rRNA from 1 species